rnacentral:pre_miRNA from 1 species
AGAACCGACGCGAAUGACAACUUCAGAUGCACUCAAGAUUACUAUCUUGAGUGCAUCUGAAGUUGUAAUUCGCGUCGGUAAC